UAAAGUUCUAAUUUACUUAAGUGUUUUGAAAACUUCCAGCUGGAUAAAGUUCAAGUUUUGGUUAUCAACUGUAACGAAUUCUUCAAGUAGUCAGACAUUUACAUUCAUGCUCUUAUUUUGACGAGUUCAGUUUCAUUUCCUCUCUUGUCUUUUUUCUUUCCCAAUAAUUUUAUGACAAACAGAAACAUACAGGAAGAAAAUGUGCUAAGCAUUUUAGCAUUAGCUUCUGCUAAAUGCUGUGUUAGUGUAGCGCAUUAGCUGAACUAGCAUUUAUGAUUAAACAUUAGAACCCUGACCCAGUUACUGUUGGGUUCCUGGGUGUUUCCUGUCUGUGGUUGGGGUUGCUGUUUCCCUGUCCAUCCUUCAGGGGGCGCCUGGCAGUCAUUCCUGGAGGGCGUGGACCAGCUGAUAUUCAUCACCUGCACUGCAUGAUCUCAUUUGGAGGAGCAUAAGAGGAGGAGGCAGCCUACACACCAGUGCCAGAGUGUUUUUGCCAGUUUUGGAACUCUCACUACAGAAGCUGUGAACCCCUUAGUGGAAAUCCCGCGCAGAACCUCUCCUUGUGACGCCGGUGGAUUAUUGCCCACCGGAUGCCCAGUCCCUGAAUCCCACCUUGGUGAUCGGAUCUCCACGCUCGCUGCCUUCCUCUCUCCGGCCAUAACAAAGACCCGCCCAGAUCUUGUCCGCCCUCCAGAGCUGCCCCACCACCAUAAGCGAAGCAGCAACACUCGACCUCAAGUAAUCCGCCCAGGAUCCUUCAGACCUUCCCCCCCCCCCCCGGUCCGUAUCAUCUCAGCUGAAGUAAGAACGUUAAGUUUUUUCCAGCAGUUUACCAUUUCCUCCAGUCAUCGAACUCACCAUACUCUCUCACCCUUAACUCCAACCAGAAGCAUCGAAUCCUCUCCGGACCAGUUUUUCCCCUUUUUCUCUGACUGUCAUUCUCUGCAAUAAAUAUAAUUUUACUGAU